UCCGUAGGCGGUUCUUUAAGUCAGUGGUGAAAUCCCAGAGCUCAACUCUGGAACUGCCAUUGAAACUGAAGAACUUGAAUAUGGUUGAGGUAGGCGGAAUACGUUAUGUAGCGGUGAAAUGUAUAGAUAUAACGUAGAACACCAAUUGCGAAGGCAGCUUACUAAACCAUUAUUGACGCUGAUGGACGAAAGCGUGGGGAGCGAACAGGAUUAGAUACCCUGGUAGUCC
rnacentral:rRNA from 1 species